UGCACAACCUUUCCAUUUUCCAGCACGUGCUUCACCACUCCUUUCCUCAUGCGCUCGAACGUCGGUAAGCGAUCAAUGGCGGCCCAAGUGAGGUGGUACUCGUCGUCCUCCUGCGUGUGGCGGUCGCUCCGGUUAAACAAAUCCGGAGGCGCCGUCCCGACAACCCGCAAGCCCGGCGGGGCACUCCUGCGUGUGGCGGUCGCUCCGGUUAAACACAUCCGGAGGCGCCGUCCAGACAUCCCGGAAGCUCGGCGUGGAAGUCCAGCUCCGGCGACUACUGGCUGAAAUGGCCAGAUCAUCACCGGGCAUUAAUAGCGAAGCC
rnacentral:lncRNA from 1 species